ensembl:lncRNA
CGUUAUUGCAACCACCUAUACAGAUACAAACACACCCUUAGUGUAUGCACAUUAAUGAGAAGCAUUUUUGCAAGAAAUACACUUUGCAUAUGACAUUUAAAGCAGUUGAUUAAGGGAAAGAGAUAAUUAAAAGUUGAUAGAAGUGUUGGAUUUCAAUUUAUGCACUUUCUGUGUUUUGUAAUUGCAUUAGUGUCAUACAAAUAUAUUCCACCAUUCCAGCAAGUAUUAGGACUGGCUCACUGGAUUAGUUGCAGUGAAAAUAUUUUAAACUAUCUCUUGUAGCAUGUUUCUUAAUACGAAAGCAGUAUUUCCAGUGGUAGGAUUGUUUGUUAGCGUAGUGCACUUAACAGCAUAGAGUUUGAACAUGACUAAAGGGUACCUAUGAAAAAGACAUGGUCAGGUGUGUCCUGGUGCAGUGAAUGCUAAUACGCCUUCAGUAGAAGCACAUUAUGCUUUUAUUUCUGACUGUACGCUGAAUUAUUUACACCUUCAAGGCAGCUGAUUGAACUGCAGCAUCAGUCAAUUAGCAAAUCAAAAAUUUAUAUGAUUCCAAUUUAGCAUGGAGUCCUUCUCUCUUUUUUUUUUCUUUUUAGAUUUUCACCCUGACAGUGACAAAUUACUCCUCUGCUGGCUGAGAUUGGAAAUUAAAAGCAUUUAGAGUUGCUCAUGCAUUUAUGCUAAUGAGAACUUCUGAUAUGAUUUGCAUGCAAAAGAGGACAAUCUGAAAGCUCAUCAGUUUUUCAUGCUUCUGCAUUUUGAUGUAGUAGGAUUUUUUCUGUUUUCUGCAGAGCAGAAAAUUUUUUCUUGAGGAAACAAUACUCUAUGUGAACAAAAAGAGUUUUUCUUUCAAGUGAGAAAGUUCCUCUCUUUUUUUCCUUUUCCCCUCCAGAUUCUUGUCAAACCGUUUGCUUUGCUGUUUCAGAACUGCAGCCCACAUUCAUUAGCAUUUUAGAUGUUUAUCAAAGGAACGAUCCAGUAUCUGCCAUGCAAGAUUAUAGCUCAAGCUUCAUUUUAAAUUCAGCAAGAAAAAAAGACCCGAGGACAGAUGAGAAGAGGGACGUGCACUCUGACAAUCUUCUUCACAGAUACAGCCGAAUUAAUCCUAUUUAGAGCAAAAUUUGAUUAAUCACCAGAGGUGGUAGCUUUAAGUUUAGUGAAAUAGUUAACUCUGACAAAUUUGGGGGACCUCUUUGGCACAGCCUUUCUGGAAUGCAAAUAAAGAAGCCAGGCAUUAAAAAUGAGACUGCAGAUAACUUUAAAUUGAAUUCAAAAAAAAAGAAAAGCAAGAAAGAAGUCUCCUGCUUAGUGAGGAGAUUGCUGUUACUUUUAGGCAUUUAAUUUUGUUCACCAAUAUACAACAUUAAAAGACAAGGUGGCAAAGAAAGGUCUGGAUAUAACUGCAUGUAAUUUGCUUUUGUAGUACAUGAUUUUCUAUAGCACAGGUAGCAAAGUUAAGAUAAUUUGCUAAACAAAGAAAAAAACUCUUUCCUCUUUGACUGCGUUGCUUGAUAAGGUUGAUAGGGUUACAGCUGUGUCUGUUUGAAUUUUUUGUGAAUAUACAUCUUUUGUUUUGAAAAUGAUCUUUAUGACAGUAGUGAUUUUAAAGACCCUAAGCACUGUUCUGCAUUUAUGGAAAGUUCUGGUGCUAUAAUACUUACUGAAUACUAGCAUAAUCCAUUAAUUCUUCCAGUCCCCAAACCCUACUGUUUAGAAUUUGAAUUUUAACUAUUCCUCCUAUCUUAUCAUUUGGCUGAUCAUUGGAACAGUGCAGUUUCAACACACUGUUUGUUUAAUAAAGAUAAGAUAAAAUGUGACUUUUUUUGCAUCUGAGUUACAGUUAAGAAAUUAAAUUCAGCUUGUAACAUAUUCAGAGCAUCCUCAAGAAUACAUUUUUGUCAACAGCAAAAUGACAAUUUUACAUCUUGGAUCAUUCUUUUCCCCCCAGGUACAUGCAGUGACAGUGAAAAUUUGCAGGAUUUCAACAGUUUAAUGGGGAAUUUCACUCAUUCACUCAUUUCACUCAUUGGCAAUGCUGCGAGAUACUUCAGAACCAGCACCUCCUGUGCUCAAAUACUGCUAACAACAGGCUGUCAGAUUGAUACGUCUCUGCUUGUCCUCUUGACUGCUUCAGGAUCAGAUGUGAUAAAAAGCAAAAUUAAAAACUUAAGCUGGAUCUCCAUCCACUGUAUGAUCCACCCAGGCUGACUCUUCUAAGCAUGAAGCUGACAGAAUAACUGGGGCAGAGCUGGAAAGAGAGAAGAGGGACAGCAUGAUUCCUGCUGCCAUGUGUUCAGAACCAAAAUGGAGAGAGAUUCAGAAAGUCAGAGGAAGCAAACAAGGGUUAUCAUGACCCUACCCCUGGAUGGUAACUGGAAAUACACCAAAAUGGAAAGAUUCAGACCUGUGCAACCCCCUCCCUCCCCCUCCCCCAUUUUGCAUUUUCUUAAGUGUCAAAGGGUA